rnacentral:tRNA from 1 species
GGCUCGGUAGCUUAGUUGGUAAAGCGUUCGUCUAGCAUACGAGAGUCCUGGGUUCGAAACUCUGCCGCUCUG